rnacentral:rRNA from 1 species
AGUGAACGCUGGCGGCGUGCUUAACACAUGCAAGUCGAACGAGAACGGAAUAUAGCUUGCUAUAUUUGUCAGCUAAGUGGCGCACGGGUGAGUAAUGUAUAGAUAACCUGCCCUUAAGAAAGGAAUAACAGUUGGAAACGACUGCUAAUGCCCUAUAUGCCUUUAAUACAUAAGUAUGCAAGGGAAACGCUUUAGUGCUUAAGGAUGGGUCUGUAUGGUAUCAGCUUGUUGGUGAGGUAAUGGCUCACCAAGGCUAUGACGCCUAACUGGUUUGAGAGGAUGAUCAGUCACACUGGAACUGAGACACGGUCCAGACUCCUACGGGAGGCAGCAGUGGGGAAUAUUGCACAAUGGACGAAAGUCUGAUGCAGCAACGCCGCGUGGAGGAUGACACAUUUCGGUGCGUAAACUCCUUUUAUAUAGGGAGAUAAUGACGGUACUAUAUGAAUAAGCACCGGCUAACUCCGUGCCAGCAGCCGCCGUAAGAC